rnacentral:rRNA from 1 species
UACGGAGGGUGCAAGCGUUAUCCGGAUUCACUGGGUUUAAAGGGUGCGUAGGUGGGCUGGUAAGUCCGUGGUGAAAUCUCCAAGCUUAACUUGGAAACUGCCGUGGAUACUAUUAGUCUUGAAUCUCGUGGAGGUAAGCGGAAUAUGUCAUGUAGCGGUGAAAUGCUUAGAUAUGACAUAGAACACCGAUAGCGAAGGCAGCUUGCUACACGAGUAUUGACACUGAGGCACGAAAGCGUGGGGAUCGAAACAAGGA